rnacentral:rRNA from 1 species
AUGAACGCUGGCGGCGUGCCUAAUACAUGCAAGUCGAGCGAACGGACGAGAAGCUUGCUUUUCUGAUGUUAGCGGCGGACGGGUGAGUAACACGUGGAUAACCUACCUAUAAGACUGGGAUAACUUCGGGAAACCGGAGCUAAUACCGGAUAAUAUUUUGAACCGCAUGGUUCAAAAGUGAAAGACGGUCUUGCUGUCACUUAUAGAUGGAUCCGCGCUGCAUUAGCUAGUUGGUAAGGUAACGGCUUACCAAGGCAACGAUGCAUAGUCGACCUGAGAGGGUGAUCGGCCACACUGGAACUGAGACACGGUCCAGACUCCUACGGGAGGCAGCAGUAGGGAAUCUUCCGCAAUGGGCGAAAGCCUGACGGAGCAACGCCGCGUGAGUGAUGAAGGUCUUCGGAUCGUAAAACUCUGUUAUUAGGGAAGAACAUAUGUGUAAGUAACUGUGCACAUCUUGACGGUACCUAAUCAGAAAGCCACGGCUAACUACGUG